GCACAGCCAAGGAAAAAACAAAUAAAAAAUUUUCUUUUCAUGCUUCGUUUUCAUCGCCUAAGCCCUGGGUCUCCGACCACCAGCCCAGCUCCCUCUUCACCAUCUUCUUUUCUCUCCUCAUAACCCUCCUUCACGCUCAGCCGUGAGAAGCCACCUGCAGCACCUUCUUCGUCUCCGGAAACCUCCAGCCCUCACGGCCUUUUAACAGUGCAGCACAACCAACCGCCGAACACUUCCAACACCAGCCGCCAUCGUUGUUGCCGGCACUACCCCUCCGCAGCAAAGCUCCACGGCCAGCACAGCCGCAGCCCCUCUGCAACUCCACCGCAGCAGCCAUCUCCGGUGGGCAGCAGCAGAGACCCGCAGACAGCCCCCAUUCCUCCAGAUUUCUCCCAGCACCUGGCCAACCGCCGAGUACCACAACAGCCCCACAGUCUCCGACAAACGUUACCAUCGCUCAUCAACCUCGCCGUUCGCCGUCGCCCUCCGCCACACCGUCGUCUCCGGCAUCGUCUCAGUCCUGCGGUACCCCCCCACUGAUUGUUGAAUCAUUGGACUACCGAGCGUGGGGUAUCACUUGGAGAGGAGGGCUCCAUCCUCCUUGAAGGAGUGUGUAAACAGUUUGUUCCGACCUGUUAAGGGAGCAGUAUAGUGAAAUCCUUGGGUGGUUUGCCUAAGGCGAGGACGUAAGCGGGGCAUGGGAGGAGGAUCAUUCUGACGCCUUUAAAGGGCGUUAGUGUGUGCGCACAUUAGAGACUAUAUGGCAUGUCCAUCCUAGAAGCAUUCUGUGGAUUCAACGAGCAAAGUUCUAUCUACUGUACCAGAUUCGGAUUACCCGUUGAUGGCGACGCUGUUAUGUGCACGAUACAGCAAGAUUGGGAGAUGUUGCGUCAAAGCCUACUUGGAUGCAACCCCCCCCCCCCACUGGCAGGAGCGGAUAAAACGGCGCGUCCUUGUCUAUGACAUGGACGGAUGGGAAUGUAAUAACCUAAAAAAAAAAAUUAAAAAAAUUUUAAUUAAUUAAACAUUAUUAAAUUAAAUAAAUAAGUAAUUUAAAAAAAUAUUAUGAAUUAAUGAAUUAAUUAAGUAUUAUUAAAUAUGAGGUAUUAAAAUAAAUAACAUGAUAUAUAUAUAUAACGAUUAAAGUAUAUGUGUGUGUGUGUGUAUAUAUAUAUAAUAUAUUAUUAUUAUAUUAUAUGUAAAGUAAGUAAGAAAAAAAAAAAAGA